rnacentral:rRNA from 1 species
UACGAAGGGGGCAAGCGUUGUUCGGAAUUACUGGGGCGUAAAGGGCGCGUAGGCGGCCGAUCAAGUCAGGCGUGAAAUUCCCGGGCUCAACCUGGGGGCUGCGCUUGAUACUGAUUGGCUUGAAUGCGGGAGAGGAUAGUGGAAUUCCCAGUGUAGAGGUGAAAUUCGUAGAUAUCGGGAGGAACACCAGUGGCGAAGGCGGCGAUCUGGGAAGAUACUGACGCUGAGGUGCGAAAGCGUGGGGAGCAAACAGG